AUAUGCAGAUUAAAAAGGGCAAUUACAUCUUAGAUGUCGUGCACUCGUGCUAUAGCAAACUAAUUCCAACUUGUGUUCAAAACUUUAUUCAAUAAGUUUCAUGAAAGUCAUCUCUUGUCAGAAUAUCUAUUCUCAUAUAACGAUGACUGGAUAUGUAUUGUUGUGUGGAAUGAUUCAGAGAUGAAAAAGCAUUGCAAAGAAGACAUCAAAGAAGGCUGCUCAAGCUGCAGCUGCGAGUUCUGGUACUAGAGGCAAAUGAGCUACUAAGAAGUGAUUAUGAUCAUUUGGUUUGGCUUUUGAGCCCAGAAGAUGCCAUCCAAGUUCGAAAUAUCAUGGAAAGAGCUUUCUGGAUUCACAAGCUCAGCUUCAGGAAUUGCAUUGGAGCGAGAAGAUCGGAUUCUCGUCGGAUUGAAUUCCACCACUGGAAGCGGAAUCUUCGAAUAUCCGAUGAGAUUCGCGUCUUCUUCCUCAGAUCGUUGAAGAAACAGUUUCUUGCGUCUAGGCUCGUCGGCUUCCUUCGAUUCCGGCGAUGGACGUUUCACGGGGCUGGUGGUUGAGGUGGUUGAAGAGGAGCCGAAAGAUCCGAAGUUGAAGAUGGUGCCGUAUACUUCGUCGACGACUUCAAUCUCUCUCUCUCGACCGCCGCUUUAUCCCUCUCAGUCUCCCUCUCUCUUUUUCCCCCUUUCCUUCGAUUUUGUCAUAAACCCUAAUUUUACUUCUUUAUUUCGUCUUGUUUUUGCUACAGGUUAUCCUAAGAGAUUUAAAUCGAGAAGGGAAAAAAUCUCUGAGCUUCUUUUCUCUUGUAGAGUGAAUCGAUGCAUCAGAUUCGACCAUCUCGAGCUUACGAUUCCUAGGGACGACGAAGAGGGAGAGGCUAAUUUGGGAUGUGGAGUCGCCGGUGAUGAUGGUGUUACGAGGGUUGAUGUUGAUGAAGAUUAUGAAGAAGCUGGUGGUAGUAAAGAGAGCAAAGCUAAUAGAUUAUAGAUGAGCCAAUCUCGGUGUUGCUCGAAUCCUUGAGAAAGCUUCAAUUGAUGUCUUUGAAUUUGGAUAUUCUUAAGAGUACUGAAAUCGGAAAGGCUGUUAAUGGUUUGAGGAAACAUGGGUUUUGAUAAGAUUCGCCAACUCGCAAAGACUAUUAUCCUUGAAUGGAAGGAGUUGGUAGCAGAAACUCAAAGCUUUUGAUGCAGACGCAAGAAGUGAAAAGCUCCAGGACCUUAACAAGAAAAACUCAAAGCUCUUGAUGCAGACGCAAAGUUCCAGUUUGCUAAGAGGAAACUUCAAGUGAGCUACCAACAACAUGAGAACGGUUUGUUCCUUUACCUCUUGUGAUUUUUGACUGUGAACAUUUGUGUUUGCAGGUAGAUUCAGGCUGGGACAUUGAUGAAUAACUAUGCACAUAUAUUUGAUGCAAAACCUCUAAUAGGUUUGCCUCAGCAGGACCUCUAAAAGGAAUUCUCAGGUAUACAGAUGAAGAUGUUGUAUCUCUUCUUUUUCUUCAAAGUGAUAUGAAUAUCCUGAGUUUUGGCUUUGUG